UAGGGAAUCUUCCACAAUGGACGCAAGUCUGAUGGAGCAACGCCGCGUGAGUGAAGAAGGUUUUCGGAUCGUAAAGCUCUGUUGUUGGUGAAGAAGGAUAGAGGCAGUAACUGGCCUUUAUUUGACGGUAAUCAACCAGAAAGUCACGGCUAACUACGUGCCAGCAGCCGCGGUAAUACGUAGGUGGCAAGCGUUGUCCGGAUUUAUUGGGCGUAAAGCGAGCGCAGGCGGAAGAAUAAGUCUGAUGUGAAAGCCCUCGGCUUAACCGAGGAACUGCAUCGGAAACUGUUUUCUUGAGUGCAGAAGAGGAGAGUGGAACUCCAUGUGUAGCGGUGGAAUGCGUAGAUAUAUGGAAGAACACCAGUGGCGAAGGCGACUCUCUGGUCUGCAACUGACGCUGAGGCUCGAAAGCAUGGGUAGCGAACAGGAUUAGAUACCCUGGUAGUCCAUGCCGUAAAACGAUGAGUGCUAAGUGUUGGGAGGUUUCCGCCUCUCAGUGCUGCAGCUAACGCAUUAAGCACUCCGCCUGGGGGAGUACGACCGCAAGGUUGAAAC
rnacentral:rRNA from 1 species